GCCGGAAUGAGUAGCGAGAGGAAGGUGGGAAUCCUUCCGGCCGAAUAUCUAAGGUUUCCAGGGUAAAGCUGAUCUGCCCUGGGUAAGUCGGGGCCUAAGGCGAGGCCGAGAGGCGUAGUCGAUGGAUAACAGGUAGAGAUUCCUGUACUACGAUAUGACAGAACUGUGGGGACGCAGAAAGAGAGCGCGAGCCGGGAAUGGAAAGACCGGUGCAAGCGAGGUACCAGUCUGGCAGGCAAAUCCGCCAGGCAAUGGGAAGACGUGAUGCGGAGUGAACUAGAAGUAACGAAGCGCGUGAGCUGGCUGCCAAGAAAAGCCGCUAUUGUUCAUAUCGUACCCGUACCGUAAACCGACACAGGUGGAUGAGGAGAGAAUCCUAAGGCCGACGGGAGAAGCAUUGUUAAGGAACUCGGCAAAAUGACUCCGUAACUUCGGGAGAAGGAGUGCCAGUGAGAGCUGGCCGCAGAGAAUAGGCCCAAGCAACUGUUUAGCAAAAACACAGGUCUAUGCAAAACCGAAAGGUGAGGUAUAUGGGCUGACGCCUGCCCGGUGCUGGAAGGUUAAGGGGAGAGGUUAGCGCAAGCGAAGCUUUGAACUUAAGCCCCAGUAAACGGCGGCCGUAACUAUAACGGUCCUAAGGUAGCGAAAUUCCUUGUCGGGUAAGUUCCGACCCGCACGAAAGGCGUAAUGAUUUGGGCACUGUCUCGACAAUGCACCCGGUGAAAUUGAAGUACCAGUGAAGAUGCUGGUUACCUGCGCCAGGACGGAAAGACCCCAUGGAGCUUUACUCCAGCUUGAUACUGGGACUCGGUAUUGCAUGUACAGGAUAGGUGGGAGGCGAAGAAUUGGAGACGCCAGUCUCCAAGGAGCCGCUGUUGGGAUACCACCCUUGCGGUAUUGGGUUUCUAACCAGCAGCCGUGAACCGGCUGGGGGACAAUGUCAGGUGGGGAGUUUGACUGGGGCGGUCGCCUCCGAAAGGGUAUCGGAGGCGCUCAAAGGUUCCCUCAGAAUGGUCGGAAACCAUUCGAAGAGUGCAAAGGCAGAAGGGAGCUUGACUGCGACACCGACGGGUGGAGCAGGUACGAAAGUAGGACUUAGUGAUCCGGUGGUAUAAAGUGGGAUUGCCAUCGCUCAACGGAUAAAAGCUACCCUGGGGAUAACAGGCUUAUCACUCCCAAGAGUUCACAUCGACGGAGUGGUUUGGCACCUCGAUGUCGGCUCAUCGCAUCCUGGGGCUGAAGUAGGUCCCAAGGGUUGGGCUGUUCGCCCAUUAAAGCGGUACGCGAGCUGGGUUCAGAACGUCGUGAGACAGUUCGGUCCCUAUCCGGCGUGGGCGUAGGAUAUUUGAGAGGAGCUGUCCUUAGUACGAGAGGACCGGGAUGGACCGGCCGCUGGUGUACCUGUUGCAUUACCAAGUGCAUGGCAGGGUAGCCAAGCCGGGAAGGGAUAAACGCUGAAGGCAUCUAAGCGUGAAGCCCCCCUCAAGAUGAGAUAUCCCAUGCGAAAGCAGUAAGACCCCUUGAAGACGACGAGGUAGAUAGGGCAGAGGUGGAAGUGUGGCAACACAUGGAGCUGACUGUCACUAAUAGGUCGAGGGCAUAACCAAG
rnacentral:rRNA from 1 species